rnacentral:rRNA from 1 species
GACGAACGCUGGCGGCGUGCCUAACACAUGCAAGUCGAGCGGAGAUUGUAGCAAUACAAUCUUAGCGGCGGACGGGUGAGUAACGCGUGGGUAACCUGCCUUAUACAGGGGGAUAACACUGGGAAACUAGUGCUAAUACCGCAUAAAAUUGUUGUCAUGGCAUCGUGAUACAAUCAAAGGAGAAAUCCAGUAUGAGAUGGACCCGCGUCCGAUUAGCUAGUUGGUGGGGUAAAGGCUUACCAAGGCGACGAUCGGUAGCCGAACUGAGAGGUUGAACGGCCACAUUGGGACUGAGACACGGCCCAGACUCCUACGGGAGGCAGCAGUGGGGAAUAUUGCGCAAUGGGGGAAACCCUGACGCAGCAACGCCGCGUGAAGGAAGAAGGCUUUCGGGUUGUAAACUUCUUUGAUUGGGGACGAAAAAAAUGACGGUACCCAAGGAACAAGCCACGGCUAACUACGUGCCAGCCGCCGCGGUAAAAC